GACGAACGCUGGCGGCGUGCUUAAUACAUGCAAGUCGAACGGUAAGGCCCUGAUUUUGCGGGGUGCUCGAGUGGCGAAAGGGGGUGUAAAACGCGAGUAAACUGUCCUUGACUUUGGGAUAAAUCUAGGAAACUGGGGAUCUUAUACGACAUGAGAUCCUGCUGCAUGGUGGGGGUUGGAAAGUUGCGGCGUUUCGGCACGAAAAGGCGGUUUAUCAGCUUGUUGGUGGGGAGGUGGCUUAACAAGGCACUGACGGGUCGCCAGCCUGGGAGGGUGACCGGCCACAGUGGGACUGGGAUACGGGCCGGACUCCUACGGGAGGCAGCAGUGGGGAAUAGUGCGCGAUGGGCGGAAGCCUGAUGCAGCAACUCCGCGUGCGGGAUGACGGCCGUCGGUUUGUAAACCGCUUUCGCCUGUAACGAAGCGUGAGUGACGGUAAUGUGUAAGGAAGCACCGGCUAACUACGUG
rnacentral:rRNA from 1 species